rnacentral:rRNA from 1 species
CAGUCGCCGCGGUAAUACGGAGGGUGCAAGCGUUAAUCGGAAUUACUGGGCGUAAGCGUGCGUAGGCGGUUCGUUAAGUCUGUUGUGAAAGCCCCGGGCUCAACCUGGGAAUGGCAAUGGAUACUGGCGAGCUAGAGUGUGUCAGAGGAUAGUGGAAUUCCCGGUGUAGCGGUGAAAUGCGUAGAGAUCGGGAGGAACAUCAGUGGCGAAGGCGGCCAUCUGGGACAACACUGACGCUGAGGCACGAAAGCGUGGGGAGCAAACAGGAUUAGAUACCCCUGUAGUCCCUGUCUCUUAUACA